AUGAUUCUUAAAGCCCAACAAAACGGCUUGUUCAAAGGUCUGGCCUCGGACUUAAUUCCAAAUGGAGUAGCUAUUCUCCAGUACGCGGAUGACACAAUUUUAUGCUUCGAGGAUGAUAUCGGGAAUGCUCUGAACAUUAAGUUGCUUUUAUACCUCUUUGAGGUCAUGUCAGGUUUAAAAAUUAACUUCCUGAAGAGCGAGAUCUUCUCUGUCCGUCCGAACGAUGAGACUAUGCAUAAGUAUGCUGAGAUGUUUAACUGCUAG
rnacentral:rRNA from 1 species